CAGUGUGGGAUCCUAUCUGAUAAAGUCAUUUCUCGCACAGUGAGAGGAGCAUUGGAUCAUCAGAGAUUCAUGUUCUGUAGUACCAGGAAGCAUUUGUGAACUCCGAAAGACCAAUCAGGUGCCGAUCCGAUCCGAUACAAUCACACAAGAGUCUUUAUUCACAAGUUCAAACUCGGGCUUAAGUCAUGCUGACACACAGGAUGGUUUCGGUGGAUAAAAGCCCCAAACACUCCUCAGGACAAGAUUUUAUAGGAAAUAUCAAGAGAAGGGUUGUGUCAAAACAUUCUUACCAAAGGAAGCAGUAUACAUGAGAGGAAAAUUUUCUUUAGCUGAAAAUUCUAGAUUAUAGUACAUGUCAGUAAGAAAGGCAAAAUAGCAUGGAAGUUAAAGUAUUGCUCCACAACCUUAGAGCAGAGAAAAUAGAUGGAUGCAUUCUUCAAGUAUUGAACUGACUUUCCUUCUCAAUCAAUCCCAGUUUGUUCAGUCCAAGAGUGCUCCCUAUAUUCAAGAGCUGACAUAGAUGGAUCUUUAGCUCAUGGACUGAAGAGAUAAAUGAGAAAAACAAAGAGUUUCCAUGGAAUAAUCAUCAGAUUUUAUGGUAAUUUCAAAAUGAGAAGUCUACUAGAGAGGCAAACUUGAUCUCUUUCUAAUAAGCUUCACCAGUUCCUGUCACUUCCCAAUAGCAUGAUGCUGAAGACUGGAUUUUACUAUGUAAACGUUUUCAAGACACUGAAGAUUUGAAGUAUUUUUUAAUAUAGCCAACUUUUCUCAUAACAAGUCCUUUAUUUGAAUCAGGUCUGCAUUUGAUUCCAUCUACUGCAGGACUGUACUUCUGAAGCAGUAAGUAGCUCCAAUUACACAUUGUCAUUUAUAAGAUUUGCCUUGGUCAUGGUGUCUGUUCACAGCAGCAAAAGCCUAACUGAGACAGUGGGAUGGUUGUUUCAAUAUGCUUGUCUCAGAGAAUAUCACUACUAAGAGGUGAGGCCAUGCUGAAGUAGAUUUGGCUUUGCUGAAAAAAAUGUGUUACUGUGGGGGUGGGAAUUGAGACCCUUCUCCUGGCUACCAAUAACAAAAGCUUCUCCUGUUUGAAUUCAGGAGAGGAUAUACAUUCUUACCUCUUCAAAUGCUAUGGCUAUCUAGACCUAUGAACCAAUAAGCCAGCCCCAAUUCACAAUUGUUUUUUUUUUAAAGUUGCUUUGGUCAUGCUGUCUCUGUAGAACAAUAGAAACCCUGAGUCAGACUUUGCCAACAGGAGUGAGAUAUUGACAUAAUAGGCCUGACCAUGUGUUUGUUUGGAGGAAUGUGGAUUUGGAAACUUUUGAUUUAGAAAGUGGUGCAAUGCUUUAAGGGUGCCUUUGGCCCAUCCUACAAGAAAUAUGGAAGAAAUUGGUACUGAGGGUGACUUAAAGUGAUGCAAAAGGUUUUAUAGUAGGAAGAUAUCAGUAUGUGGCCUAGAACCUGUUUAAAUGGUAUUUUGGUGAAGAAUCUGGCUGCUUUUGCUAUUAUCUGAAGAGACUGAGGCGGCACAGUCUAGCAUGAAGAGAGUCAGAAAAAUUGCAUGACAACUGAAGUCUAACAAGAGCCCAGCAUAGACUUUGUUCUCUGGUUCACUCUCAUGAAAGUGUUUGAUGAAGUUUACCAAGCUCAUAAAGGAAAAAUACAAAAUAUGAGGGGCAAGACUUAAAGGAGCACUAAGAAGUGAAAUGGAGCUGGAUCCUGUGUGGAAGGAGAUAAGCAGCUUAAGGGAGUGAUGAUCUCA